AGGCCAGGAGGAGAAAACGUUCUCUUCCCCUUACCUCAUGUUGCAAGGCCUAAAUGCCUGGAUCAGCAGGAAGUGGCUCUUGCCUCGCUUAAAGUGUGUCUUUCUAAACAGAAGUGUUCUUUCUAAAGACAAAGAACUUGUUGUCUCCAAAGGAAGGAUGGCUAAGAGAAUUCUUUAUUCUGCAAGCAUAAACAGGAUAUAAACAGGAUGUAUUUUGUUCUUAUUGCAUUUCGUGUAUAUUUCACUUCACAGAUGUUGGCUUGAUACAUUGUUAUGUUUAUCUGAUCUCUGCGAGUAUAUAGCUAUGUGAGAAAUAAACGGCAGUAUGCAGUUGCAAGUGCUGCCUUUGCUCUGCAUCCCCUGUGUCCUGGUGAUUUCGUAGACCCUUACCCAGGGACCCCAACGCACUAGAAGUUGACAAUUGGCGCCCGAACAGGGACCCUGAAGGACGUACAGGAAGGAGGAUGGACGGACCUGUUCCUGGCUCCCCGCACGAUGGAUCCGGUCGAGGGCCAAUUCGAACGGCACCGUAUCCCACCAGACGACGGAUGGGGAAUCCAGACCAAGAUGAACUUCCGUUACAGGCCAUAGCACAUCUGAAUUUGGGGGGACGACCUCGCCGUCGGCAGAUAUUUGCUACUGCUUUGCCGACUUGGGGGCAAAUUAAAAAGCUUAGUGGGGAGGGGCAAAAAAUCCUGCAGCGAACAGGGAAGGCUUGUACGCCUGAAAAUUUAUUUUUGGCUAUGUGUGCCUUGCUUACUGUAUUAUCCUCUGCCGAGGCGACAAAUGUAAGCUAUUGGGCCUAUAUACCUAAUCCACCUAUGAUGGAACCUGCACCUUGGGGAAGUGCAGAUAUUCCUGUCUAUACCUCCCCUGUGAUACUUUCGCCUCCUUGGAAGAAUCUUACUUAUCUUAAUCAGGAUGAUGGCACCUCAUUUAAUUUUUCAUACAAAGGGGAUGGUCCUUACAUUUGUCUGGGCCCAUCCCCGUGUGCCGAGAUGGAUUGGCAGAACUGGAUCCUGCCGGGGAAUAAGUCUAAUGGAUCCCGAACUCAUUUACAAAGAGUUGAAGCAUGGUCUCUUAACAUGACAUGGGGAAAUGUUACAUUUGCUGAAUUCCCCUCAUUUCCUGCCUGUCCUGAUUUCACUUAUAUCGGACUGGCCUAUAAACCAUUUGUGUGGCAGGAAUGUAUUGGAAAAUUCGUGAAAUUUUAUAAGAAUUUACUUAUGUGGGGACCAUAUGGUCAAUUUCUUCGGAAUUGUUCCGAAUGGAAUAAGACAUGUUGUGAUUUGUCCUUAUCCUACAGGAUGCCACCACGGAACAAAUGGAAUGAAUCAAUGGUGAAUCAUCAGUUGAUGGCCUGGGGAGAUGGCGGCAUCGCAGAUCCUCGUAUAGCACAUCAGAAAUUUCCUGACCAUAUCCAAACGCACUUAUGGAAGAUUGCUGCUGCGCUUAAGACUGUUAGACUUUACGAGGAAACCUUUUCUGGCACCGUGAAUUCUGCAUCAACUUAUAAAUUCACCUCAUUUAAAGAGAUAAAUGUAACUGCAUGCGUACCUUUACCAUAUCUAUUUCUGAUAGGGAAUUUUAGCUUUGAUAACGGUAUUAACUGUACCAAUUGUCGACUAUAUUCUUGCAUUAAUAGCUCUAUAGAAUUUGACUCCGAAUAUUCUCUUAUGAUUUUACAACAACGUUCUCAUAUUUGGCUUCCGGUAGAUCUAGAACGACCAUGGGCUCAAAAUCCUGUAGAUGUCUUAGUAUUGGAGUUUUUUAAAAGGGUACUAAAGCGCACCAAACGUUUUCUCGGUAUUGUUGUGGCAGUCAUUUUAAGUUUAA